AGGAAAAGGGAAGGGAAAGGAGAAAAAAAGGAGGAAGGAGAAGAAAAGAUAGGAGGGGCCGAGCGGGAAAAAAAGGGGAGCCAAAGAGCGACCGCCAUGAGAGAGGAAGAAAAGAAGAGAGGGGCGGAGGCAGGAGAGUGUGGAAGCUGAAACAAAAGGAAGAAGGAGGAAGAGGAAACGAUCGAGAUGCCAUAUGAAGGGGGAGACCGAGGCAAGCGAGGUAAAGUUCGUCCUUUUCAUCUUUUCUUCCCCUAUUUUCAUUCAAUCUAUUUCUACUUUGCAGUAAUCAAUUUUUUAGGCAUAAAAAUCACCAUUCUAAUUGCAAGCAUGCAAGGGAGCUGUGGGUGACUGAGAGGAAGCGAUCGGGAGCAAAGCCGGGGCCAAAUCGCCCACGUCGAAAGGUAAAAUCGUUCUAUUUUAAUGUUUUGAUUGGGGUUGAGUGGCAGCGGGGAGGGACUGGUGUCGGUCGAACCUCGCUGGCUCGGCCAGGCCACCAACCCACACAGGAAUCGAGGAGGCUUCUUCGAGAAUGGGGAUAGCUGACCCAUUCGGGAAGCCAAAGGGUCUUCCCCGAACAUGGAAAUCCGAUCCACCAUUUUGGGUUCUGAUUUUUCAUCUAGGAAGCUGAAAAAGUCUUCCUCGAGAAAUGAGAAUUUAGUUUUCCUGGGAAGCUAAAAAUUCUUUCUCAAAAAAUGGGAAUCCAAUUCGCUGAAUGUGGAUCUAAAAGGUUUUUUGGGUGCGAAUCCUAAUAGAUUCAGGUA
rnacentral:lncRNA from 1 species